ACUAUUUUGGCAGAAAUGAGUGCAGCGGAUUUAGAAUCUGAAAAUAUAAUUAUUAUUAUAGAUAGUA
rnacentral:tRNA from 1 species